AUCAGUGGGAGGGGGUGAACAGAGAGGGAGAAAAAGGCUCAGAGGCAUAGGAGGCAUAUGGUGGAUUCUAAGGAAUUUUGAAGCCAGUCCCAUGCUGCCAACUUGACCCAUUUUUUCCAUUCUACCGACUGUUCAAAUCUCACAGAUUAAUUAGUGAGGGAAGGCACAGCUGAUCCUGGAGCGAAAUCCAUACCCACACAUUCUGCUGCUCUGCCAGUCAGCCCUCUUGGUUUGUUCUCUGUUCUGGGAUAUAGGCUGUCAGUAUUACACUGUGCUGUAAUAGACCUGACUAGCCAUUAUCAUUAGCAGUGGGUACCAGCUUAAAAACCCAGGCAUCAAAGAACAAAAAUGCUGGCAGCUAAAUGGAGAAAUCCAGCCAGGAGGAAAACAACCCCGAGCAUCAGCCAGACGGCUGCAACUCUCUACGCAGAGGAGGAGGACUGUGCAAGACAAGCCAGCUAAAUGUUGUCUGACAUUUAAAAACAACUGUUCUAUUGUGUUGGAGAAUGUUGUUAAGAAACCUCAGCCCAAUGCAAACUGCUAUCAAAAUGACCACAAGCAGGCUGCAUCCCCCUUACACGUGCAGAUGCAGAGGAGAGAGCAGCUGAGUAUCUCCUGUAUUUUAUGGGGGGGCACAUUAUUUAUUAGAACCCUUGGAUGUCUUCAAGCUUGCUUGCUGAAACCUUGGCAAAUCCUGUUACACCUGAGAGCCCUAUUUGUAUUCACAUCCCACUGCGUUUAGGUUUUUCUCUCUCUCUCUCCCUCCCCCCCUUUUUUUUUUUCUUUGAAAAUGUUAUUAACUAGAGCAUUAAAUGCUGGCCUCCAGCAGGGCCUCUCCAUA